rnacentral:hammerhead_ribozyme from 1 species
ACACUGAUGAGGAGUCUCACACUAGGACGAAACGGCCUUCCAGUAU